ensembl:lncRNA
CUGAUUAUACAGGGGGGGGGGCGCGUCCUGGCUUUCCUGGUGCUAAUAACAUGGAAAGCUGUCAAAGCGACUCCAGUGACACUUUCGACCCAACGAGCCGUCUUCUAUAACAAUAACCAAAAAAAAAAAAAAACAAUCGGUGUGGAGUGCAAAAGUUUUCGCCCCCUGUGGAUCUGUGCAACCGCUUUAUUUUUAAUUUACCUACCAAAAAAAACUCAACUGGAAUCCGAAUGGUAAAACGGGUGAAUCCCUCAUGAUGUGCAAAAUCAGCAGCACAACAUUAAAAAUUAUUAAUAACUUAAAUGUUAUUUGAUCGUUUUUUUUUCUUUAAAGGGGGUGCAAACUUUUGAACCUGAUUUUCGUUGUUAAUAUCUUUACACUAUUUGAUCAGUUUGGGGUUUGGUCUUCGUUCCGCGACUAAGGGCGCACAGACUUUUGAACGGCAUUAAAAUGCUGCUGAUGGGGAACGUGGUUUACGGUAAUAACCGGUUUAGGAACUCAAGGUCGAGGAGUAAUGACCGAUAAUACGCGGGUCUUUCAGAUACAUUCGACAGGACAGGUGAACGCUGCAAUACUUCAUUUUCAUUCCAAUUCAUCUCUCGGAAAAUCCGGGAAAGCCACGGAUAUCAUCCGCGGGCGCGAGCGGGUCUCCGGGCCUGCCGCCUUUUAAUUCAACCAGCUAAUUACACAAACAAACUAAAACAAAUAAGUACAUCAAUGAAAAGAAAAGAAGUUUUGAAAAAAUAAACAAAUAAAUAGAAAAAGCAAAUAAUUAAACGUAGAAGUAAUAAAAUAAAUAAGCAGGAAAUAAAUACGUAAAGUAAACGAGUAAAAUAAAUGAGCAAGCAAGUAAAUAAGUAAAGAUAGUAAGAAUGGAAGUAAAUGAAUAAAUCAGCGAGUAAAUCAAAAUAGAUACAUAGCUACGCAAACAAGCAAGUAAAUAAAAAUAAAUAAAUAGCUACGUAAAUAAGCACGUGAAACCAAAUAAAUAAAUAAACAAAUAGCUAAGUAAAUAAGAGAGUAAAUCAAAAUAAAUAAAUAAACAAUAGCUAAGCAAAUAAGACAGUAAAUCAAAAUAAAUAAACAAACAGCUAGCUAAGCAAAUAAGACAGUAAAUCAAAAUAAAUAAACAAACAGCUAGGUAAAGGAGAGAGUAAAUCAAAAUAAAUAAAUAGCUACGUAAAUAAGCGAGUAAAUCUAAUAAAAUAAAUAG